rnacentral:tRNA from 1 species
GAGGAUAUAGCUCAGUGGUAGAGUUUUUGCCUAGCAUGCAUGAGGCCCUGGGUUCAAUCCCCAGUCUCA